rnacentral:lncRNA from 1 species
UGACAUACCUCCAUUACCAUCUCCAGCGAGCUUCUCGAAGAUGCCGGAACAGUAGGACUCCACCCCUCGUCAAACUUAUGCUCCCUCUUGUAUUUUCCUUUUAUUUUUGCUCUAAAGGCGAUAUCCCAAGAUAUUGGCUAUCUAGAGAUGAUGAAUACAAUCAUCAGCCUUUGUAACCCACCAGUAUGAAAAAGUUCACACAACAAAGCUUAUUCUGAUGUACUCCCUCC